rnacentral:rRNA from 1 species
GUAGGGAAUAUUGGGCAAUGGAGGCAACUCUGACCCAGCCAUGCCGCGUGCAGGAUGACGGCCCUCUGGGUUGUAAACUGCUUUUAUACGGGAAGAAAAAAUACUACGUGUAGUAUACUGACGGUACCGUAAGAAUGAGGAUCGGCUAACUCCGUGCCAGCAGCCGCGGUAAUACGGAGGAUCCAAGCGUUGUCCGGAUUUAUUGGGUUUAAAGGGUGCGUAGGCGGAUCUUUAAGUCAGUGGUGAAAGCCUGCAGCUUAACUGUAGAAUUGCCAUUGAAACUGAAGAUCUUGAAUGUGGUUAAAGUAGGCGGAAUGUAUCAUGUAGCGGUGAAAUGCUUAGAUAUGAUACAGAACACCGAUAGCGAAGGCAGCUUGCUGAACCAUUAUUGACGCUGAGGCACGAAAGCGUGGGGAGCGAACAGGAUUAGAAACCCCGGUAGUCC